rnacentral:rRNA from 1 species
CUCAGGAUGAACGCUGGCGGCGUGCCUAAUACAUGCAAGUCGAGCGAAUGGAUUAAGAGCUUGCUCUUAUGAAGUUAGCGGCGGACGGGUGAGUAACACGUGGGUAACCUGCCCAUAAGACUGGGAUAACUCCGGGAAACCGGGGCUAAUACCGGAUAACAUUUUGAACCGCAUGGUUCGAAAUUGAAAGGCGGCUUCGGCUGUCACUUAUGGAUGGACCCGCGUCGCAUUAGCUAGUUGGUGAGGUAACGGCUCACCAAGGCAACGAUGCGUAGCCGACCUGAGAGGGUGAUCGGCCACACUGGGACUGAGACACGGCCCAGACUCCUACGGGAGGCAGCAGUAGGGAAUCUUCCGCAAUGGACGAAAGUCUGACGGAGCAACGCCGCGGAGUGAUGAAGGCUUUCGGGUCGUAAAACUUCUGUUGUUAGGGAAGAACAAGUGCUAGUGAAUAAGUGCACCUGACGGACCACCA